GAAUGUUAUUCAGCCUUAAGGAGGAAGGGAAUUCUGACGUCUGAUGCAUUAUGACUGAAGCUCCAGGGCCACUAAGUGAGAUACAUGAGUCACAAAGGGACAAAGGCUGAGACAGACCAUUUCUCUUCCAUGGGGUUCCAGGAAUAGUGAAGACUCAAAGCAGAAGCAGAAUAGAUAGGUUCAGAGGGAGGAAGAUAAGGAGGUUGCUUUAGCAGGUUCAGAAUUCUAGUCUUAUGGAAAACCACAGACAGACAGACAGACAGAACGGCUACAUAAAUAUAUGAAUUUACUUGAUAAUGCCUAACGGCUUAUGUUACAAUAUAAUGACCCCCAACACCAGAAUAUUUGUGAAAGAUUUCCUAUCCAAGUGUUCCCUGGCCUGUCUGUCCACCUAUCACAGCCACCAGUUCCCACAGGCAGCCCCUAGCUUCUAGCCAUUGUAGUAGGACAAGAGCACACUGCGUUGUGAUGUUCUCUGCCACUGAGGCUGUGCAAGAGGACACAUGGAGCCGUCACCAGGGAGACCUAUGCGGGAGACAUGACUGCACUGCGAAUAACAAGUAUCUCUUGCGAACACAGUAUGACCUUCCAGACCUUAAGAGAGAGGCAUUUCUGAAGCAUCGCUGUUUUCAGAGAUCAAUAUUCCAAUUUUCCUGAAAGGAAGCCACAGAUUCUCUGAGUAGCAUCAAUGAGGACUCUGGAGCCUGGCCACACUUCCUCCUUCACAGGUGGCUUAAUGAGGCUUCCUGAGGAAGUGCGGUUCUGAGGAAGUGCAGCCAGCACCAACACACAGUUAUUCCUUGUAGCUCUCCCGCCAACGGUGAGAAGACAACCUGCUGGUAUGCAGGGAAAUCCAGCAUCUAAGCAAGGCUAUGGUUUGGUUUGGUUUGGUUUGGUUUUUUUCUUUAACAGUAAAAUUCUUGGGGCUGUGUAGAGUGCUUGCCAUGUAAGCUUGAGGUCCUGAGUUCGAUCCCCAGAACUCAGGAAGAAAAGUCAAGCAUGAUGGUGUGCUCCUACAAACACAGUGCUGGGAUUUAGAGACAAAGAGACAGGUACGGUCACUGGGGCACACUAUCCAGACAGCCCAGCUGGAUUGUUGGACCCCAGGCUAGUGGGAGACCUUGUUUCAUAAAAUGAAAUGAACGGAACUUAAGAAAAGACACCAAAGGCUGACCUAUGCUUCCAUACAUCUGCAUGUUAAGAACAUAGACAUGUACAUACACACAAAAUGAAAACAAAUAAAACCAAAGUUCCUUGUCAAUAUACUGAGGUCAGUCUAAGUCAAGCACGCCCUGUUCAUUUCUGCGCAGACCUUAGAAGCUCUAGCAAUCAGCAAAAGAGUCACAUCUCUCCCCUCAGAAUCCUGUACAGCUAGGAUGGCCUCCACAUUCCCUUCACCACUCUGAGAUACGAUGAUGACGUGAACAAUCAGCACUGGACACCAACACAGACUUAGCCCAGCUUGCCCAGUCAGCACUCGGUGUAGAUCGCAUGCACUAAGGACAGUGGGAACCAGGGGACUUUAGUACGUCAGAUGGCAUCAGUCUUCCUGGAAAUGUGCUUUGGGCACUAACGUUCCUGACGAUAGUAUGUGUUUAGCAUGCUGACCACUCAACUCACCCAGGCUAGUACAGACAGACAGACAGACAGACAGACAGACACACACACACACACACACACACACUGCACUGAGGCAUAUCACGAUCUUGUGGAAUUCCCAACAUCAAUGGCACUGAAAUCUGGGUGGUUUAAGAUGACUACUCUGCUUCCUUUCAAGUUACUCAGGAAAGGAAGAGAAACUGGACACAGAGACCCUUUGAAGCUAUUUAAUAUCCAACAAAUAUUUAUGUAGCAAAUCUAGCACCAACACGCAGCCUUACAUGUUGUCUACACCAGGAUGAAACUCUUGGCACCAGAAUCACUCUCUAACGCCUGGCCAGGCUUCCCACAGAAUGAAUCCCAGUGUCCUCAGAUGGCACCAGAAGAGAUUUCUGGUGAGUUCCUCCUCAUUGGAGAGGAGGAAGUCAUACUUGACUUGGAAGAAGACACAGAGAAAAGGAAAGGCUUUGUAGGGCAGGAGAUACCAGAGAGGCCCCCAUUCCUUCACCUAAAGACUGUUAGGAAACUACCAGUUACAUGUACACUGACUUUACUAUGCACCUAGUAAACUCAGUCAGACCUGCCCCUCUCGUCUCAGAGCAGAGCUAAUAAGGACACACCUGGGACCAGGAUUACCACUCAAGGCUAAAACAUAAAGCAUCUUACCUCACAGAGCACUCUGAGCUCCAAAUCACCUCAGAGGACACCCUCGGACCUUCACCUUACAGAGAACUCUCUUAGUCUGACAGCACUUCAUCUCCCAGGGCAUUCUCUCAGCCUUUCAGUACUUGGCCAUAUAAAGCAGUCUCUCGGGCCUAUACCUUCCCUCACAGGGCCCUCUCAGGUCUGUGUAGCAUCCUCCAUGGCUUUAAAGACCUUCACUCUCCACUUCUCUGGCAUGUCCCAGAAUACAGUUAAAGAGCUUCCUAAUGCCUUCUUCCCCUCUGCUCUCCAAGGAUGCUGUACUUUCUGCUCUGACAUUUUCAGUUUCUUACAUGACUUCCUUUAACGCCCGUGCCACUCAACUGUGAGUUUUUAAAUAGGUAGUAGCCUGAGGUGUAAUUGGCAGGAAUCAAAAAAUAGUUGUAAAGUGAAUUAACAAAAGCAGGCAAGUUUCUUAGACUCAAAACCACUGUCUGCUGCCAUGGUCUUUUAUCCUGUCCCCAACUUUAUGAUAUUAACUCUUUUUGGUAAUUAGCAGUAAAUUAUUAUCACAGGCAUAUGUGGAAUAGGAAAUUCUCUGCCUCUUUCAGCAUUUACCAUACACAAAAUGAAUAAGGAAAACUUCAGAACCAAUACAUUCCUGCUACACUAAUGUUAAAUACAUUCCUGCUACACUAAUGUUAAAUACAUUCCUGCUACACUAAUGUUAAAUACAUUCCCGAUGCACUAAUGCUAAAAAGCUCUUCCUGUAAUGAACACAAAAGGCAAACAGCCUUCUAACCCUCUGUCCAGCCAGCUACCAAUCCUGCCACUCUGGUUCUCAUGCCCAGACAGUGGCUUGGGCACAGGGUGGAGUAGGAACCUGGAGAACCAUGGGAUGUAGGCUCACUCACAGGAUGCUCUGUGUCAAGAGGUAAGGCACACCACACAGACAUACCUACCCGGGAACAGCAAAGGCCCUGGACCUGACACGCACAGCUGACCUAGGCUUCCACAAUCAUCUGCUAGUUUGCACCAGCACCUGCUUAUAGACAAGCUAAACAUUAGAAACGAGAAGAUAUCAUUUAUAUUCAUUAUCUAAAGAGCUGAGCUCUGAUCCAACUCUGGACCACACAGCACAGUGGGAGCCGUGCUGUGCUGUGCUGUGUGCAGCGGCUGAUUUGAGCUCCAACUGAACAAUGUCUUGAACGUGUUCAGCCCGGGUGCCCAGAGUGUGAACCUUCAGUGGUGCUCAUUAAAUCAAGGAGAAUGAAUCAGACUCGUGAAAUCCAAGUGUAUUUUCUAUUUCAAGGAUGCAGAUUAAGAGCAACCAUAACAAACUAAGAAAAGACCAACUUAAACAAUUGCCUGUGGGUGUCUUUAACAGGCGCACCGCUGAGGCUGAUCUUUUCCCCAAUUCUGCUGCCCCUGUGUCUAUACACUCAGUGGGGCAGAGCUCACAGCCACAUGGACGUCUUGAUACACAUCUGCUUACCAUUCCCUCUAAACACAAAUGAGAAUCCAUGAGCUCCCCAUGAGCUCCAUCAACAAAAGAAAGGUACAAAAAAAGAAAAUAAACUCGUGUGGCUGUGUCCCCCACGGGCUAAGCCACUCUUGAAGAGAAUCAGUGAAUGUAUCCAUUUGAAAUUAUGUAGUUGUCUUUUCCUGGGGGGAGGGGAAGAUUUUGGCUGAGGAAUACUGAGUACUUCCUCACAGAGCAGGGUUCCUAAGUUCAAACUGCUCACAUUUUAACCCUGUGCACACCUAGGGUGUAGGUCAUCACAUACAUUCCCAGCGUCUGCAACCAAUUACGUGAGAGAAAAGUUCCAAGAAAGCUCUGGCGAUGGAAUGCAAGAGAAUCAGCUUUUACACCAUUUGGUAGCUCACUGCGUCCAGAAAUAUCAGAAUUUAAUGCCUAUUUCUCUGUGACGGACAGGUGAGUGUAUUCUAUUGCUCUGGUAAAGGUAACGGCGAAGAGCCAUUUCCCCCUCUGGAUCCUAUGUUCUCUUCCACUCCUGACUUCCCACUCCAGAAAGGCCUGGCAAAGCUCUGAGCGCCCACCAAACAGCAAACUGCAGCACUGCAACAGUAGAGAGUUGAGUAGAGAGGAAGAGUGAGCCUGGGCCACUCAUCUCCCGAGGAGGCUCUCAGCCUUAACAACCCACCAAGGGAGAGGGGGAGGAGCAGGCUCAGCGCACUGGUGGGGAGCAUGCUAAUCAAAGGGCUCCAGGCAACACGGAAAACAAGGAGGCAGGUUUGUAAUAAUGCGGCUACCGACUUGCAAACACCCUAUAAACGCCUACAGAACUGAAUUAAAUCUCUCACAGCUUGAAUUA